rnacentral:lncRNA from 1 species
CUUACUUUGAAUGUGGACACAUGAGCUGUGGGAAGGAAACUAUUUAAAAUGGGGCUUAGGGAAAGGGGGAAGAAAUCCCCUUUCCCCAGCUGAGAUUUUUCCAGGAUGUCGUCAUACAAUCUCCAAGACCGCCAUGGAACAGAGAGUAUUUCCAGAAGGAUGUAACUGAAGAAGGAAGACACACCCGAAAAAUGGAAACGUAUCUCUCGGUGUGCCUAUCAGGGUAUUUCCCCCGAAAGCUUUGAUGGAAGAAGAAAG